GAAACCUCAACUUGCGUGAGGAGAGCACAGGUGUUUGUUCAGAAGGUGAGCAGACUUUGUUUCCAGUUCUCCAUCUUCACGCACCGCCCCCAGGCUUAACCGGUGGUUGCGUUCACCUGGACAACCACUCGGAACAGAACAUCAGGACUUACUAUGUGUCCAAAAUGACUAAUUGACAAAGAGAAGGAGAGAGUAAGAGCAGAGAGCGUGGACUGCAGAGUCAGAAUGCCUGGUUCAAAUUGUGGAUCCAGCAAGUCACAGAUGAGGCCGCCAUGGCAGAGGAACUAUCAGCCUGGAUCCCAGGGCAGAGGCCCCUGGCAACUUGUGCCGGAUGGAAUAUAGCAUGAGUCCGUGCCCGGGAACUCAACCUGAGCUGCCAAAGUGGAGCAUGCCGCACUUCACCUCUAGGCCACCGGGGCUGGCCCUCACUCUUAUUUAUUUAUUAUUUACUGCUGGAGGAAUAUGCAUAUCUAUAUUCUCUUGACUUAUGCAUCAUUUUGGGGACGUUGGAGAACUGUAGACAGUUCUACAUGGACCUACAUGGUUCUGACAGUGAAACGUUGGCCCAUCUUUUGUUCAUCUUGUUCUACAGAGCUCGGCUGGUUUUACAUCUAAUCCUCAUCCUGG
rnacentral:lncRNA from 1 species